rnacentral:rRNA from 1 species
GACGAACGCUGGCGGCGUGCUUAACACAUGCAAGUCGAACGGAAAGGCCCUGCUUUUGUGGGGUGCUCGAGUGGCGAACGGGUGAGUAACACGUGAGUAACCUGCCCUUGACUUUGGGAUAACUUCAGGAAACUGGGGCUAAUACCGGAUAGGAGCUCCUGCUGCAUGGUGGGGGUUGGAAAGUUUCGGCGGUUGGGGAUGGACUCGCGGCUUAUCAGCUUGUUGGUGGGGUAGUGGCUUACCAAGGCUUUGACGGGUAGCCGGCCUGAGAGGGUGACCGGCCUCAUUGGGACUGAGAUACGGCCCAGACGCCUACGGGAGGCAGCAGUGGGGAAUAUUGCACAAUGGGCGGAAGCCUGAUGCAGCGACGCCGCGUGCGGGAUGACGGCCUUCGGGUUGUAAACCGCUUUCGCCUGUGACGAAGCGUGAGUGACGGUAAUGGGUAAAGAAGCACCGGCUAACUACGUG